AACGAACGCUGGCGGCAGGCUUAACACAUGCAAGUCGAACGGGCGUAGCAAUACGUCAGUGGCAGACGGGUGAGUAACACGUGGGAACCUUCCUAGGGGGUACGGAACAACUCAGGGAAACUUGAGCUAAUACCGUAUACGUCCGUGAGGAGAAAGAUUUAUCGCCCUUAGACGGGCCCGCGUCGGAUUAGCUAGUUGGUGGGUAACGGCCUACCAAGGCGACGAUCCGUAGCUGAUCUGAGAGGAUGAUCAGCCACACUGGGACUGAGACACGGCCCAGACUCCUACGGGAGGCAGCAGUGGGGAAUCUUGGACAAUGGGCGCAAGCCUGAUCCAGCCAUGCCGCGUGAGUGAAGAA
rnacentral:rRNA from 1 species